rnacentral:rRNA from 1 species
GACGAACGCUGGCGGCGUGCUUAACACAUGCAAGUCGAACGAAGAGCGAUGGAAGCUUGCUUCUCUCAAUCUUAGUGGCGAACGGGUGAGUAACGCGUAAUCAACCUGCCCUUCAGAGGGGGACAACAGUUGGAAACGACUGCUAAUACCGCAUACGAUCUAAUCUCGGCAUCGAGGAUGGAUGAAAGGUGGCCUCUACAUGUAAGCUAUCACUGAAGGAGGGGAUUGCGUCUGAUUAGCUAGUUGGAGGGGUAACGGCCCACCAAGGCGAUGAUCAGUAGCCGGUCUGAGAGGAUGAACGGCCACAUUGGGACUGAGACACGGCCCGGACUCCUACGGGAGGCAGCAGUGGGGAAUCUUCCGCAAUGGACGAAAGUCUGACGGAGCAACGCCGCGUGAGUGAUGACGGCCUUCGGGUUGUAAAGCUCUGUUAAUCGGGACGAAAGGCCUUCUUGCGAAUAGUGAGAAGGAUUGACGGUACCGGAAGAGAAAGCCACGGCUAACUACGUG